rnacentral:rRNA from 1 species
GACGAACGCUGGCGGCGUGCCUAAUGCAUGCAAGUCGCACGCAGUGUCUCUUGAGACACUGAGUGGCGCACGGCUGAGGAACACGUGGGCAUCUGCCCCGCCGUGGGGGAUAACGGAGCGAAAGCCUCGCUAAUCCCGCAUACGUUCCCGUGUUCGCACGGGAGGAAAGCCUUCGGGCGCGGUGGGAGGAGCCUGCGGCCCAUCAGGUCGUUGGUGUGGUAACGGCGCACCAAGCCGAUGACGGGUAGCUGGUCGUUGAGGACAACCAGCCAGACUGGGACUGAGAAACGGCCCAGACUCCUACGGGAGGCAGCAGUAGGGAAUCUUCCGCAAUGGACGAAAGUCUGACGGAGCAACGCCGCGUGAGUGAAGAAGGUUUUCGGAUCGUAAAACUCUGUUGUCAGGGAAGAACAAGUACGGGAGUAACUGCCCGUACCUUGACGGUACCUGGCCAGAAAGCCACGGCUAACUACGUGCCAGCAGCCGCGGUAA